AUACGUAGGGUGCGAGCGUUGUCCGGAAUUACUGGGCGUAAAGAGCUCGUAGGUGGUUUGUCGCGUCGUCUGUGAAAUUCCGGGGCUUAACUCCGGGCGUGCAGGCGAUACGGGCAUAACUUGAGUACUGUAGGGGAGACUGGAAUUCCUGGUGUAGCGGUGGAAUGCGCAGAUAUCAGGAGGAACACCGGUGGCGAAGGGGGGUCUCUGGGCAGUAACUGACGCUGAGGAGCGAAAGCAUGGGUAGCGAACAGGAUUAGAUACCCUGGUAGUCCAUGCCGUAAACGGUGGGCGCUAGGUGUAGGGGUCUUCCACGACUUCUGUGCCGUAGCUAACGCAUUAAGCGCCCCGCCUGGGGAGUACGGCCGCAAGGCUAAAACUCAAAGGAAUUGACGGGG
rnacentral:rRNA from 1 species